UACGUAGGGUGCGAGCGUUGUCCGGAAUUACUGGGCGUAAAGAGCUCGUAGGUGGUUUGUCGCGUUGUCCGUGAAAACUCACAGCUUAACUGUGGGCGUGCGGGCGAUACGGGCAGACUGGAGUACUGCAGGGGAGACUGGAAUUCCUGGUGUAGCGGUGAAAAUGCGCAGAUAUCAGGAGGAACACCGGUGGCGAAGGCGGGUCUCUGGGCCGAUACUGACGCUGAGGAGCGAAAGCGUGGGGAGCGAACAGG
rnacentral:rRNA from 1 species